CAUGAACCAACACAAACGAUCAUGCACAAACAAUAACGGACCGCGAGUGUGUGGAGGUGAGAGGCUUAAAUAGGAGAUGGGAUGAGUGAGUGAAUGAGAGUCAGGUGUUUGUGAUCAGCAUGACUGUGGGGCACGCACGGGAGCAGAUGGAACAGUUGAAACAAAAAAUAGCAAAGGCAAGUGAGAUGCAUUAAAACACUUCUCUCAUUUAUUUACUCAUUUUCAGCUCAAAACAGAUGCAGCUGUUUCCACUCUGUAUCCCUUUCCCCUAUAAAAAAAAGAACGAAAGAAAAUGGCUGAAACAAUGUACAGACAAAACCAGUACAUUUGCUUUGUGUUGUUGCACAACUGUUAAUUUAUACACUUAUAAUGUAUUACAUUUUAAAUUUAUUUUCAGAAAAGCUGCUCAUUGUUAUUUGUGCCCAGUCAUUUAAACAUUUGCUUCCUACCUUAUCAUUUAAAUGUACUUCUUAGAAAGUGUCAGUUUUCACUUUGUGCAACUGUUCAGUUCAGUUUAAUUUUUAACUUUUAUAUGCAAAACGCCUGACAGAUCGCAGAAAUUUCCAGAAGAUCUGCAGUUUGUAUUCAGUGGUCAAUGUGGUCCAUACUCAAUACCCAGUAUUAAUCCAGUCCAUCUGGCACAAAUACCCGUGCUGUAGUUAGUCACUACUCUCACUUUUUCCCAAUUUUAAUGUUGGUUAUGAACAAAAACAGAGGAUCUUGAUCUCAUUUGCAUGAAUUUUUAUAUUUUGCGGCUGUGACAUGAAUGGCUGAUGAUAUCUAUGGUAGACCCCCUUAUCCUGACUCAUACUGGUCUUGCUCACGGGCCCAAAAACGACAGUUUGUGUUUUCUGUUUGUUUGUCUUGUUGACUGUCCUUAUCCAUUAUGUCUUAUAACAUACCACUCACCCAUACUAAUGCUUAAAUCUAAAAUACAACACAGCCACAAAUAUGAAUAAACUCUCAAUGGUCAAUGUGAAGAGCUUUCUAACUUAGGGAUGAGGAAAUAGGAGACACACACACACACACACACACACACACACUCUAGAGAUGGGUGAUACCAAUCAUUUUAUUUUCGAUCUGAUACCAAGUAAUUUCAAGACAAGUAUCAUUGAUGUAGAUACUGAUAAUACUAUGAAUAUGUAUAAAAUUUUUUAAUAAAAAAAUUUACUGUUAAAAACAAUGUCCAGUUGAAAUAUACUCAUAUUGAGUGUAAUAUUCUGGUCCACGUGAAAUAAUAUCUUCAUAUCUGAAACAAUCUGUAUGGUAUAAAGUAAAGCUCUCUGAAACAAUUCUGCUAUAAAGAAAUCUGAAUUAAGCCAGAAGAUGGGGGUCGUGUCUGUGUUAUAGCACUUCCUCUGCUCUCCUCAGCUGUACUCAGUCAUGCUCUAUAGGGUGUUAUAUUUUUGUCAUUUGUCAUAUUUGGUAUUGCCACGUUUUUUGACAUGUCACAUGAAGCUUCAUUGUUGUUAACUGGAGUGAAAGAACUCCAGAUUAUGCUUCUUCUUCUUUCAGUCCUGAUCGCAGCCAUGCACUGGAAUCCCAUUUUAAACCUAUAUUACCGAUAAAACCUAUAUAUUUAUAUACUAUAUGGCAUAUUAAUAUUAUUAAAAAACUUGUUUUUUAAAAAAAAAAAAAAACAGAUAGCAUGGAUACUUCUAUUUCAAAAUUUAUCCUUUUGAUACAAUGCCAGUAUCAGAAAUGUCUAAAAUUGCAUACAAAAAUAUCUUUGAAAACUAAACCAAUUUAAUGCAUUUAAUUGCCAUAUUACAUACAGACACGCCAUUCAAAAAGUCCCUCAACAGUGGCCGCUCAGAGUAGGUUAUGGGAAAGUAUUUGUUUAAUGAAACUCAGUUAUUCUCACUCGUGUAUUUGUUUAGUAAAUCUGAAAUAUCAAUAUGUGGUUUUCUUGUCUCUGGAAAAGCUGCUUGAAAUUUUACACGCACUAAAUCUGUGUAUUUAUUGCCAUCUUCAAAAACGUGCUCCACUACCUGCUUUACACGGCCACUGCAGAGGGGUUUUUUGGAAGCACUGGAUAUAAAUAUUCUUCUUCUUCUUUUGGCUUCUCCCAUUAGGGGUCGCCACAGCGGAUCAUCCGUCUCCAUACCCCCCUGUCCUCUACAUCUGCCUCUUUCAGACCAGUGCACUGUACAGAGUUUUCUUUAUGUUUCAGAUUAAAAUGAUCCCAAACUGUAAACUUUCUGGUGUUUUCUUUGCCCUGAACCUUCUCCUCGUACCUCAUUGAUUUCUUCUUGUUCCUACAUUUUUUAUUCUGCUGCAUCUUGUGUGUUUAUUUUGCCUCAAUUCAUUUUUGUAAUCGAAUUACUCGAGUUGCUCAAUGAAUCAUUUCAGCCAUAGGGCUGGACAUUUGUGUAGCAUUGUAGCAAUGUUAAUGGAUGAUCAUGCAAAAACAAUGGGAACAUGGAUUAAACAUAAUUAGCUAGCGAUUGCUGUUCGAGUAACCAGCAGUAUUUUUCCACUGUGACAUAAUUUGUCUUGCAUAUGGGCAUUUCCGAUUUUCUUUCAAAAAGUUCCAGAUUUUAAAUCAAAACAACCAUCUUCUAAAUAUACACACACCCCUUAAUACCAGUGCAAUAGCAAUACCCUUUUUGCCCUUUUGCCUCUGGACAAAUCGAUCAAAAUGGAUAAAAAGCCAAGCACUGGGGGUAAGCAAACUUCAGAGUUAAAUAUUUUUUAUAUAUAUAUAAAAGCUUAUAUAAAGAUAUGACAUUAAAAUAAUUAUUGGUUGAAUUAUUUCAAAGUUGCAUUCUCUUGAUGCCUACUUUGAAGAACCUACAAUAUGACAUUUUCAGUUCACUUUUUUGUUAUGUAUAACAGGUAAGACAUUCUGGUAAGACAUUCUGAGAACUUUGCAAGCAUGGAGGCAAUGCGAGUGAGAGUAAGAGGAGGACAAAGAGAGAGAGGAGGUGGACGUGGAAGAGGACAAAGACGAGGACCAGUGCGGAGACGUGUAUCGGAUGACAUCAGGGCUACUCUGGUGGACCAUGUCAUAAAUCAUGGCUUAUCCAUGAGGGAGGCUGGGCAAAGAGUCCACCCUAACCUCAGUCGCUACACAGUAGCAUCGAUAAUAAGAACAUUCCGAUUGGAGAACAGAAUGGUUGGGCUACCUCCUCGAGGUGGAAGGGAACGUCUCUUUACUCAAGAACAAGAGCUUGCCAUCAUUCAAAUAGUGCAAGAAAAUAACGCAAUCCGACUUCGUGAGUUGCAACAGCGCAUAAUUGCAGAUAGAAUGGUAUUCAACAAUAUCAACACGGUCAGCAUUUCUACACUAAGUCGCAUCCUACAGAAACAUAACUUCAGAAUGAAGCAGCUGUACAGGGUGCAAUUUGAGAGAAACAGUGUCAGGGUCAAGGAUCUGUGCCAUGAUUAUGUGCAGACAGUUUUGGAUUUUGAUGCCCGCCAAACAGCCACAUGAGUUCAUCUAUGUGGAUGAGGCAGGCUUUAAUCUGGCCAAAACCAGGCGUCGAGGCCGUAACAUAGUUGGCUGUUGUAAAUGUCCCUGGGCAACGUGGGGGAAAUAUCACCAAUUUUACACUUUUAUACCUGCCCCCUUACAGCCCCUUUCUAAAUGCAAUCGAGGAAUUAUUUUCAGCAUGGCGGUGGAAAGUCUAUGAUCGGCAGCCACACACCCGCAUGCCUCUUCUGCAAGCAAUGGAAGAGGCAUGUGGAGACAUUGAGGUGGGAUCCAUCCAAGGGUGGAUUAGGCACACAAGACGAUAUUUCUUCUGAUGCCUAGCCCGCAAGGACAUCGCCUGUGAUGUCGACGAGGUCUUGUGGCCAGAUCCGAACUGAAGGCGGGAUCCAUAAGACCCACCCAGGCCCCCACCAAACACAUACACAUGCACACACACACACAAAACAAGUGUUUUUUCCCCACUAGCAGUUUAUCCAGUAUUUGUUUUGUUUUUUACUUUUGUUUUAUUGCUAAAUGUAAUGACUUGUGAUUCUAUUUUUCUUUAUUUUUUUAAGAAUUUUUUUUUUUUGUAAAAACUCUUGUUUGAUUACUGAAUACAUUUAAACAAAUCAAUCUUUAAAUGAAUCUACUUUUGAGUUUUACAAAAGACUGAGUCUAAGAAAAUUACAAUAUAAAUAAAAACACAAAGACUGCAGUGUUUUAUAUUCAGCGCAUCAGUGUGUUGCUGCUGAUAUGAAAGAGUAAUUCAAAUGGUGCUUGUGUGUAUGGUUUUGUUACAAGAAUUUCAUUUUUAGAAAGGAGUGUUAAGUUUUGAAUGCAGUGUUUCAUUUUGGCAUAGAUGUGAGUUGUUAAUCUCCAUGUGCUAUGGCUUGUGUUUAGAGUUUUGACAUAAUGAGCCAAAUUCUGCAAAAAGUGUGUAAGCAAUAGGCAAAAACUGUAAACGAAAAUGAGCUUUAACUCAAAAACCAUAUUAUACUGAAUGAAUAUUAGAAUUUAAAUGUGAUGAAAGGAUACAUUUUCUUGCUCCCGAAAGCAGCGAAAUAGUCUCUAAAAACAGGAUCAGCUUCUGAACUGGGCGUUCAACGACAGACAGCUUGUUGAGGCGACGACCAUCCCCUUUUAGAUUCCGGUCACCAAGACACACCUUGACUCUUCUCACAAGCCCGUCUUUAUCCGUAGUAGUCUCUGUUACUCUGGCCAGCCUCCACUCGUUUCUGGGAAGAUCAUCAGCCUUUUCCAUGACGAUAUCUCCUACUUGCAGGUUUUUCUUUGCUGCGUGCCAGUGGCAAUGUUGGAUGGCUACUCCUUAUGCCAGCGACUCCAAAACUGCUCUGCGAAGAACUGAACAUGACGCCACCUUUUCCUUGCAUAGAUUCUUCCCUGAUGAAUCUGCCUGGGGGUGGUAAUGCUGGAGCAGACUUCAUAGUAAGCAGGUGAUUAGCGGUAAGAGGUACAAGGCUGUUAGGAUCAUUUAGGUUGAUCAACUGAGAUCGCAAUGCAAUGAAACAGCGCAGACCAUUGAUGAAAGAGUCUGUAGACAUGACAUCUAGCAUUUCAAUAUGGAUAGCUCUGGAGCUGAAACAUGUGAAGAGAAGGCCGUACCUUUUAUGAUCCUUCCGAGCCUGUUUAGUGACAAAGGGACCAAAGCAGUCCACACCACAGUAGGUGAUGGGUGGAGAUGGAUUUGUAUGCUCAGAAGGGAGAUCAGCCAUUCUUUGUACAUUUUUUUUAUACUUUCGGUUUGGGUUCUGCAAUGACUUGGUGCUAAAGGUUUUUGGAUUCUAAGAAUAGUUUUUGUUAAGGCAGUCUAUUGCGAGACAUGUUGCAUGUAGAAUGCAAAGACAUCAUUGGUACAUUCAAACAGAAAACUUAAGGCAUGCUGGAGUCUUGUGCAUGAGUGUUCUUGUGUUUGAUUUAGAUUUUUUUAAAUCUUCUUUGAAGGUUUGGUGACUUUGAAAGCAAUGCAAGAAGCUCUUGUAGAAGAGCGAGAAAAGCAGCUGGCCAAGAAGAAGCAGUCCAAAGAACUAGAGCUAAAAGCAGAAAGAGAAAAGAGGAACAGAAAUUGCCCUGUUGUCUUUCAGUAUAGAUGAAGGAGACGAUGAAGAUUAAGGUAUUCCAGUUUUUAGGGGUCUGACUACACUGUUCAAAUAUACUAUAGUGCAGUGCAGCAUUAUAUGUUUUGGUUAAGAUGGCAGCAAACUUUGAAUGACAAAAAUAAUCUAGUAUUGUGGAUGUUUUUCACAACCUAAAAAAUUUAACUUUUCAGAAUAAAGUUCAGCAUUAUUAUAUGUAGUCAUUAAUAAGCAUCUCCAUGACGUCGUUUUGACGCUGUAACACUUCGUGCAGGCUAUCUGUAGAAAAAUCAGUGUGGUCAUGAUGAUUAUGAUGUGGCGUGCUGCUGACAGCAUCAAACCUUGACGAUGACUUUCUUCUAUCUGAAGGCCGAACUUGAGUGGCUGGCCUUGGAUUGAAUGUAAGGGAUGUCUUACCAGCUCCAUGAAACACAUAAUCGUCUACAUUGUGUUUUUCUUGUUUACACAUCAGGGGUUCAAAUCUGGGUCCUGAAGGUAGUUCUGAUAAAUCAUAUAUAGAUUCAUGAGCAUCUUCAAAUUCUUCUGUUUGAUGAUUUGUGCCAACUUUCACUUGCGUUCUCCUUUCAGCCUGUGUAAUUUCUCCUCUACAGCCUUUUCUGUGGGCUUUAGCACCCUCUUUUGGUCAACACACGCAGCUGCGCGUUCAUCUGCCAUGUCAGGUGACUUUAAAAUCUUCACAAAAAACCGUCACAAUUCUUAAUAUUUUCCACGGCUUCUAAUCUUCUUAUAAACACUCGUUUAUAGUCACUGACGUGCAGGAUUUAAUUAUGUCAAGCUCUAUGACUUACAGGAGGAAAUAACCAGUGAACACUUACAGUCACUUUUAGACGAUGGAUAAUAGAGUCAUGAAGAAAAAUAUCCGAACUGUUCCAGGGGAAAUUUCCCUCAGCUGACGACUCAAUCUGUAGGUAGGCUACUUCUGGCUUUCUUUAUGUUUACCUUUGCUGCGACGGAGUUUUCUUCCGUAUUGGUCUGUUGUCUUUGUUAGCAGCCGCUAGCAGGUUUCCCUCAGAGCCGCCAUGUCGGUUAGCUCGCCGUCACCACGAGCGUCUUUUCUUUCGCGAUCAUCUCACGCGGCUCGUCUUUCUUGAAUCCAAGGUUGUUUGUUUUACUGUUUAAUUAUGAAUUUCAAAUAAAAACUGAACAAAAAUUAAGGAUCUUCACCUUUCUAAACAAAUAAACUGUGUAGUUCUGUGUAGGUCAAAAGACUGCGUUGCUCAAAA